rnacentral:rRNA from 1 species
UACGUAGGUGGCAAGCGUUGUCCGGAAUUAUUGGGCGUAAAGCGCGCGCAGGCGGUCUCUUAAGUCUGAUGUGAAAGCCCACGGCUCAACCGUGGAGGGUCAUUGGAAACUGGGAGACUUGAGUACAGAAGAGGAAAGUGGAAUUCCACGUGUAGCGGUGAAAUGCGUAGAUAUGUGGAGGAACACCAGUGGCGAAGGCGGCUCUCUGGAACGCAACUGACGCUGAGACGCGAAAGCGUGGGGAGCAAACAGG